rnacentral:lncRNA from 1 species
UCUCAACAUGUGCACAAAAAUGAUUUAAGUGUUUAUAAACAUGAAACUUGUGCUUUAGCAAUAGAUCCUAUCGUUGAUCUUAAUCAAAAUGGUCAAUAAAAGGUUUAAGAUUUGCAAUUUGAUUUUUGAAAUUUGAAACUCUAAUUUAGAUUCUCAAUUUCAAGAAAAAUCCUAGUUUUAGAGUGAGGCAAAGCGAGGUUGUCCCCUCGUGUUGUCUUAAUUUUUUACACUGGAUGAAAAGCGAACACCCAAGGAAUAAUCGAAAUGAAUUGGCUCCUUGUUGGAAAAACUUCCCUCUCGGCUCAGGGAGAAGACUCUUUAGGAAACUCUUAUGAGACUCAAUGGAAUGCUGUGAACAUAAGAGCUAAGCCUGUGAUGUACAAAAGGUAUUAUGCAUUACAAGGGAAAAUGCUCCCUCUAGUUUCAGUUUCAUCACUUAUUUCUAGCAUUCCAAUGAAAAGAAUGGGGCUCCUGAAAUACUCCUUGAUCUCACAAUUUUUCUCACCAAAAUUCUCCAUCUAAUAUCUUCUUUCUUGUUCUGUUUUCUUCUCCUCUGCCUACCAUGAAACGUUGUUGUAGAUUUCCAAAGCUUUGCCUCUCUCUUUCUUGGCUUCUUGUGUUUGGUGGAUUGUACAGUUAAAAGAGAGAUAAAAUGAAAAGAUUGAUGAGAAAUGAAAUGAAAGAACGUGUUUUGGGUUCUCCGGCAGAGGUUGGCUUCUUCGCCGUUGGCGUG